rnacentral:lncRNA from 1 species
GAUUCGACAUUCUACGCGUCAUAUUCCCGCACAGGCACGACGGCACCGUUCGUCUUCAUCUCAACCUUUCCGGAAAAUACGAAAUUCAGUAGAAAUCAAAAGGGUAAAGUUCUUCACCGCCAGAUUCUUCACUUGAUUAAUUUUCCUUUACAAAACCCGCAUUUCCUUCUCACUCUUUUUGGCUUUUAAACCAAAUCGUCCGAGUCGACUGGCUCGUCGUCCUCCCCAAGAUUCCCGACUUCGAGUCGACUCGUUCACUGUCACCAACCUCAACGUCUCCUCCUCCCGCCAGUCCCUCACCGGCACCUGGUUCGUCUUCAACCCCAACAAGUGACCAUCGAGUACGACGAGAUCGGCUCCUCCGUCUUCUACCGCUCCGGCUUCAUUUCCGAGGCCCGAAUCCCAUCGUUCCGGCAGGGGAAGAGAGUCCUUAGCGCCGUGAACGUGACUUUCUUGGCGGCGAAUUCGUUCGUCGACGACAGGGUGGCGAGUGGGAUCAACGCGGACAGGGCGGCGCGUGGGGCGGUGAGUUUCAAUAUCAAGCUGCUGGCUAGAGUUCAGUUUAGGAAAGGCGGGUGGAGGCUGAGGCGGCGGCUGCUGAGGGUGUUGUGCCGUGACGUGCCGAUUACGGUUUCGAAUAAUAGGACCGGAACGAUGACCGGCGGAGGCAGAGAUUGCGGCG